rnacentral:rRNA from 1 species
GAUCCUGGCUCAGGAUGAGCGCUGGCGGCGCGCCUAACAAAUGCAAGUCGAACGAGUAAGACGCCUUCGGGCGUGGAUAGAGUGGCGAACGGGUGAGUAACACGUGACCAACCUGCCCCCUCCUCCGGGACAACCUCGGGAAACCGAGGCUAAUACCGGAUACUCCGGGCCCCCCGCAUGGGGGGGCCCGGGGAAAGCCCUGGCGGGAGGGGAUGGGGUCGCGGCCCAUCAGGUAGACGGCGGGGUAACGGCCCACCGUGCCUGCAACGGGUAGCCGGG